ACUUCUCAGUUUUCGGAUUG
rnacentral:miRNA from 1 species